GACGAACUGCCCAAACGUUGUUCGGAAUCACUGGGCUUAAAGGGCGCGUAGGCGGCAGAUCAAGUCAGGGGUGAAAUCCGGCAGCUCAACUGUCGAAGUGCCUUUGAUACUGAUUUGCUCGAGGGAUAUAGGGGUCUGUGGAACUUCUGGUGGAGCGGUGAAAUUCGUAGAUAUUCGGAAGAACACCAGUGGCGAAGGCGACUUACUGGACACAUAUUGACGCUGAGGUGCGAAAGCGUGGGGAGCAAACAGGG
rnacentral:rRNA from 1 species